rnacentral:rRNA from 1 species
UACAGAGGGGGCAAGCGUUAUUCGGAAUUAUUGGGCGUAAAGGGCGCGUAGGCGGCUUGGCAAGUGGAAGGUGAAAUCCCUCGGCUUAACCGAGGAACUGCCCUCCAAACUGCUUGGCUUGAGACCGGGAGAGGUGAGUGGAAUUCCCAGUGUAGCGGUGAAAUGCGUAGACAUUGGGAGGAACACCAGUGGCGAAGGCGGCUCACUGGACCGGUACUGACGCUGAUGCGCGAAAGCGUGGGGAGCAAACGGG